rnacentral:lncRNA from 1 species
UGUCUCAAAACGAAUAAAAUUACCCUAGUAGGAAUUGUUCAUAGGUAAUUUGUAAAAUGAGGAUGCCCUGACAUCUUUUCCCUUGUCAUUAGACAGCUGGAGAGACAGAGCCUGGCUUUCGUUUUGAUAACAAACAAAGCUCCUGAAUAGGCCUUUUCCCACUUAUAAAUCAGAGAUAACGAAAUUUGCCAGGUUUCUGCUUUCCUGUAAGUUGAUCAUUGGAAAUUCUGGCAGUUGCUAGGCAAAACUUUGGUGGUUCUGAAAAAUCUACCAGGAAGCUAAGGUAAGGAAUUGCUGAGUCCUGGGGGAGACAAGUUUGACAACUGAAUGUGCAACAAACACUUGAGGUCAGAGCAUUUAUUCCCUGCUGGGCUGUGGUUUGCAAUGGCUGUGUGCCUCCCUGGUGUACUUCUCUCCUCUGUUAGUUCACUCUUAAACUCUUUCUGGAUAUUUGGACCACCACAUAGAA